UAGGGAAUCUUCGGCAAUGGACGAAAGUCUGACCGAGCAACGCCGCGUGAGUGAAGAAGGUUUUCGGAUCGUAAAACUCUGUUGUUAGAGAAGAACAAGGACGUUAGUAACUGAACGUCCCCUGACGGUAUCUAACCAGAAAGCCACGGCUAACUACGUGCCAGCAGCCGCGGUAAUACGUAGGUGGCAAGCGUUGUCCGGAUUUAUUGGGCGUAAAGCGAGCGCAGGCGGUUUCUUAAGUCUGAUGUGAAAGCCCCCGGCUCAACCGGGGAGGGUCAUUGGAAACUGGGAGACAUGAGUGCAGAAGAGGAGAGUGGAAUUCCAUGUGUAGCGGUGAAAUGCGUAGAUAUAUGGAGGAACACCAGUGGCGAAGGCGGCUCUCUGGUCUGUAACUGACGCUGAGGCUCGAAAGCGUGGGGAGCAAACAGG
rnacentral:rRNA from 1 species